rnacentral:lncRNA from 1 species
UUAGAAGGAAUAGAGGUCUCGACUUGUUAUCUAAGAUAGGUUGAAAGGAGUGGUGAAUCGUGGCAAUAACGCUUGUUUAUUGAUGGAUAUAUGGGCAUCACCGAGGCCAAUGAAAUGAUAAGAUAUUCAACAAGAAGUCAUGUUCGUUAGACAAGCUGAUAGAAGAUAUCAAGGUGUCAUCACUCCUAUGGUUAAAGCACAACGCAAAAAUGUCAUCCAUGUGUUGGUAUGUUCAUUUAAACUUGACAAAUUUCUUGUAUCAUCCAUGUGGUUAUAUUAAUGGCUUCUAGCUAUUGGCUAGCGGUUCUUCUAAUGUUUAAGAUAUAACUACUCUUUCAACGUUAAAAAUAUUAGUUAUUGUAGCCAUACAUUGUUAAAAUGUACAUGGUUAUGCAUUUGUAUCCUAUAUGGCUGGGAUCGAUAAUUAGACCAUAAACACUAUGGUUAUCAACUAUUCUUAUAAUAUACAUAUAUGGGCGAGUUCAUUAAAGACCAACAAUACAUUGAGAAUCAUAUAAUUCACUUGUAUGCAUACAAUAUAAUCAAAAGUAGAGAAAGAUAGUAAGACAUACACACAAAAGCAAAUACAUAACUAUUUUGUGGAUCAUAUUAAAAAAGAAAGAACUUUUGAUCCGUGAUAGUUGGAAAAAUAUCUGUACUAUGUUCGUUUAAAAAAUGAUAUUCCAAAAAAAAAAAAAAAAAGUUGUAACAAUCCAGCUGGAAAACCCUCUUUGGACAAUAAUUCACACCAAGGACAAACCCUAAUUACAUUCAGACCCACUAUAUUCAUCACUAUCCACUUUGGGUCCUUAUAUUUUAGCUAUUGAAGUGUCUUUUACUCUUCUUAUAUGAACUAGAAUUGAGACCCGCCGCAAUGCGGCGAGGAUUCUUUAGUUGUAACUAAGUCGAUUUAGGACCCGCACAUUAUGUUAAAUCUAUCAAACGAGAAAAAACAGAUGAUGUAAAAACGUUCACCCACACACACACGUUGCGUCGUGUUAACUCGCAAAAUUUAGAACGAAACGUAAAAACGUUAAACUAAAGACGCACGUUGCGAUGUGUUAAGUCACAAAAUUUAGAACCAAGCAUAAAACGGAAAAUAUGGGGAAAAUGAAAACUAUAAAGGACCAAAAUUGAAACUAAAAAAUGUUGCGAGUAUAGCUUGCAAAAGAUAAAAAGUUUUGGGUUAAAACUAAAAAAAACAAAUAGUUUUAGGUUAAAAGCAAUUUAUGAAAUACUUUUUGGUAAAAAGUAAAAAAAAAUCAAUUUUCUUUUGGAAAACCCUCAAAGCCAAGGUCACGACAACCAUAUGCAUAACCAUUUUUUUCUUUAGAAAACCCUCAAAGCACACCCCGCGUUGCGGCGGGGCGUAAAACGGUGUAAAAUAGUACUAAUGUCACAAAACCGUCAUUGACCGCCAACACUGACUCGACCUAGGAUCUGCGUGUUGCGACGAAACUGUCAAACAUGAAAAAAUAGAGGUAAAAACGUUGAAUCACACAUGCACGUUGCGCCGUGUUAACUUGCAAAACUUGAAACAAAACAUAUAAAAGUUGAAACACACUCAUACGUUGCAUUGUAUUAAGUCGAAAAAUUUAGAACUAUACGUAAAACGAAAAUUUGCCAAAGAUAAAAAGUAUAAUUGACAAAAGUUGUGAAGUUAAAUUACAAAUAAUAAAAAGUUCGGGUUAAAAUUAAAAAAAAAAACAAAUUAUGUAGGGUUAAAAUUGCAAAGGCUAAAAACCUUUGGGUUAAAAGUAAAAAAUCAAGUUUAGUUUUGGGUUAAAGUU